rnacentral:rRNA from 1 species
GACAGAGGGUGCAAACGUUGCUCGGAAUUACUGGGCGUAAAGCGCGUGUAGGCGGGUUGGUAAGUCAGACGUGAAAUCCCCGAGCUCAACUCGGGAACUGCAUUUGAAACUGCCAGCCUAGAGUGAUGGAGAGGGUAGCGGAAUUCCUGGUGUAGAAGUGAAAUUCGUAGAUAUCAGGAGGAACACCGGUGGCGAAGGCGACUACCUGGACAUUAACUGACGCUGAGACGCGAAAGCGUGGGGAGCAAAC